GCGGAGGACAUUACAAAUGUCUGGGAUGUCCAAUCGGGCCCCCAAGCAAACACAUCCAUGUGUACACUCCCAUGUUGCUUUCCCAGAUCAGUGGCCACUGCUGCCAGCCCAACCCCUUGAUUGGGGUCCUGGGUUGAGGUGUCUGGGGAAGGGCCCAAUAACAAACCUUUGAACCAAUUAGUUGUCUGAGUAGGCCACCUGCCGCAAUCUUUAAAACAUGUUAAAACUUUCAACAACGGAUCUCUUGGCUCUCGCAUCGAUGAAGAACGCAGCGAAAUGCGAUAAGUAAUGUGAAUUGCAGAAUUCAGUGAAUCAUCGAAUCUUUGAACGCACAUUGCGCCCUUUGGUAUUCCUUAGGGCAUGCCUGUUCGAGCGUCACUAAAAACCCCAUCACAGAUAAUGUGGUAUUGGUAGAAGUGAACGGUACUUACAUUACCUUGUCUCACUCUGCUGAAAUGAAUUGGCCAGAGAAGUGGACCCAUGGUAAUUGACUCCAGGAGUGUUUUUCAAUGCUAAACUAGUCUUUACCCAAGUCAAGUUCUGAGCUACCGGACCCCCCAUUAAGUCCAAAACAGAGUGGUUGACCUCGGAUCAGGUAGGGAU
rnacentral:rRNA from 1 species